UACGUAGGGUGCGAGCGUUGUCCGGAAUUAUUGGGCGUAAAGAGCUUCGUGAGCGGUCUGUCGCGUCGGUCGUGAAAACUUGGGGCUUAACCCUGAGCUUGCGGUCGAUACGGGCAUGACUGGAGUUCGGUAGGGGAGACUGGAAUUCCUGGUGUAGCGGUGAAAUGCGCAGAUAUCAGGAGGAACACCGGUGGCGAAGGCGGGUCUCUGGGCCGUAACUGACGCUGAGGAGCGAAAGUGUGGGGAGCGAACAGG
rnacentral:rRNA from 1 species